AUUGAACGCUGGCGGCAGGCCUAACACAUGCAAGUCGAGCGGCAGCGGGAAAGUAGCUUGCUACUUUUGCCGGCGAGCGGCGGACGGGUGAGUAAUGCCUGGGAAAUUGCCCAGUCGAGGGGGAUAACAGUUGGAAACGACUGCUAAUACCGCAUACGCCCUACGGGGGAAAGCAGGGGACCUUCGGGCCUUGCGCGAUUGGAUGUGCCCAGGUGGGAUUAGCUAGUUGGUGAGGUAAUGGCUCACCAAGGCGACGAUCCCUAGCUGGUCUGAGAGGAUGAUCAGCCACACUGGAACUGAGACACGGUCCAGACUCCUACGGGAGGCAGCAGUGGGGAAUAUUGCACAAUGGGGGAAACCCUGAUGCAGCCAUGCCGCGUGUGUGAAGAAGGCCUUCGGGUUGUAAAGCACUUUCAGCGAGGAGGAAAGGUUGUUGGCUAAUAUCCAACAGCUGUGACGUUACUCGCAGAAGAAGCACCGGCUAACUCCGUGCCAGCCGCCGCUGUAAGAC
rnacentral:rRNA from 1 species